rnacentral:rRNA from 1 species
UUAAGUUAUUAAGGGCGCACGGUGGAUGCCUUGGCACUAGAAGCCGAUGAAGGACGUUACUAACGACGAUAUGCUUUGGGGAGCUGUAAGUAAGCUUUGAUCCAGAGAUUUCCGAAUGGGGAAACCCAGCAUGAGUUAUGUCAUGUUAUCGAUAUGUGAAUACAUAGCAUAUCAGAAGGCACACCCGGAGAACUGAAACAUCUUAGUACCCGGAGGAAGAGAAAGAAAAUUCGAUUCCCUUAGUAGCGGCGAGCGAAACGGGAAGAGCCCAAACCAACAAGCUUGCUUGUUGGGGUUGUAGGACACUCUUACGGAGUUACAAAGGACGACAUUAGACGAAUCAUCUGGAAAGAUGAAUCAAAGAAGGUAAUAAUCCUGUAGUCGAAAAUGUUGUCUCUCUUGAGUGGAUCCUGAGUACGACGGAGCACGUGAAAUUCCGUCGGAAUCUGGGAGGACCAUCUCCUAAGGCUAAAUACUCUCUAGUGACCGAUAGUGAACCAGUACCGUGAGGGAAAGGUGAAAAGCACCCCGGAAGGGGAGUGAAAUAGAACCUGAAACCGUGUGCUUACAAGUAGUCAGAGCCCGUUAAUGGGUGAUGGCGUGCCUUUUGUAGAAUGAACCGGCGAGUUACGAUUUGAUGCAAGGUUAAGCAGUAAAUGUGGAGCCGUAGCGAAAGCGAGUCUGAAUAGGGCGUUUAGUAUUUGGUCGUAGACCCGAAACCAGGUGAUCUACCCUUGGUCAGGUUGAAGUUCAGGUAACACUGAAUGGAGGACCGAACCGACUUACGUUGAAAAGUGAGCGGAUGAACUGAGGGUAGCGGAGAAAUUCCAAUCGAACCUGGAGAUAGCUGGUUCUCUCCGAAAUAGCUUUAGGGCUAGCCUCAAGUGAUGAUUAUUGGAGGUAGAGCACUGUUUGGACGAGGGGCCCCUCUCGGGUUACCGAAUUCAGACAAACUCCGAAUGCCAAUUAAUUUAACUUGGGAGUCAGAACAUGGGUGAUAAGGUCCGUGUUCGAAAGGGAAACAGCCCAGACCACCAGCUAAGGUCCCAAAAUAUAUGUUAAGUGGAAAAGGAUGUGGCGUUGCCCAGACAACUAGGAUGUUGGCUUAGAAGCAGCCAUCAUUUAAAGAGUGCGUAAUAGCUCACUAGUCGAGUGACACUGCGCCGAAAAUGUACCGGGGCUAAACAUAUUACCGAAGCUGUGGAUUGUCCUUUGGACAAUGGUAGGAGAGCGUUCUAAGGGCGUUGAAGCACGAUCGUAAGGACAUGUGGAGCGCUUAGAAGUGAGAAUGCCGGUGUGAGUAGCGAAAGACGGGUGAGAAUCCCGUCCACCGAUUGACUAAGGUUUCCAGAGGAAGGCUCGUCCGCUCUGGGUUAGUCGGGUCCUAAGCUGAGGCCGACAGGCGUAGGCGAUGGAUAACAGGUUGAUAUUCCUGUACCACCUAUAAUCGUUUUAAUCGAUGGGGGGACGCAGUAGGAUAGGCGAAGCGUGCGAUUGGAUUGCACGUCUAAGCAGUAAGGCUGAGUAUUAGGCAAAUCCGGUACUCGUUAAGGCUGAGCUGUGAUGGGGAGAAGACAUUGAGUCUUCGAGUCGUUGAUUUCACACUGCCGAGAAAAGCCUCUAGAUAGAAAAUAGGUGCCCGUACCGCAAACCGACACAGGUAGUCAAGAUGAGAAUUCUAAGGUGAGCGAGCGAACUCUCGUUAAGGAACUCGGCAAAAUGACCCCGUAACUUCGGGAGAAGGGGUGCUCUUUAGGGUUAACGCCCAGAAGAGCCGCAGUGAAUAGGCCCAAGCGACUGUUUAUCAAAAACACAGGUCUCUGCUAAACCGUAAGGUGAUGUAUAGGGGCUGACGCCUGCCCGGUGCUGGAAGGUUAAGAGGAGUGGUUAGCUUCUGCGAAGCUACGAAUCGAAGCCCCAGUAAACGGCGGCCGUAACUAUAACGGUCCUAAGGUAGCGAAAUUCCUUGUCGGGUAAGUUCCGACCCGCACGAAAGGCGUAACGAUUUGGGCACUGUCUCAACGAGAGACUCGGUGAAAUCAUAGUACCUGUGAAGAUGCAGGUUACCCGCGACAGGACGGAAAGACCCCGUGGAGCUUUACUGUAGCCUGAUAUUGAAAUUCGGCACAGCUUGUACAGGAUAGGUAGGAGCCUUUGAAACGUGAGCGCUAGCUUACGUGGAGGCGCUGGUGGGAUACUACCCUAGCUGUGUUGGCUUUCUAACCCGCACCACUUAUCGUGGUGGGAGACAGUGUCAAGCGGGCAGUUUGACUGGGGCGGUCGCCUCCUAAAAGGUAACGGAGGCGCUCAAAGGUUCCCUCAGAAUGGUUGGAAAUCAUUCAUAGAGUGUAAAGGCAUAAGGGAGCUUGACUGCGAGACCUACAAGUCGAGCAGGGUCGAAAGACGGACUUAGUGAUCCGGUGGUUCCGCAUGGAAGGGCCAUCGCUCAACGGAUAAAAGCUACCCCGGGGAUAACAGGCUUAUCUCCCCCAAGAGUUCACAUCGACGGGGAGGUUUGGCACCUCGAUGUCGGCUCAUCGCAUCCUGGGGCUGUAGUCGGUCCCAAGGGUUGGGCUGUUCGCCCAUUAAAGCGGUACGCGAGCUGGGUUCAGAACGUCGUGAGACAGUUCGGUCCCUAUCCGUCGUGGGCGUAGGAAAUUUGAGAGGAGCUGUCCUUAGUACGAGAGGACCGGGAUGGACAUACCUCUGGUGUACCAGUUGUCGUGCCAACGGCAUAGCUGGGUAGCUAUGUGUGGACGGGAUAAGUGCUGAAAGCAUCUAAGCAUGAAGCCCCCCUCAAGAUGAGAUUUCCCAACUUCGGUUAUAAGAUCCCUCAAAGAUGAUGAGGUUAAUAGGUUCGAGGUGGAAGCAUGGUGACAUGUGGAGCUGACGAAUACUAAUCGAUCGAAGACUUAAUCAA